CCGGCUAAGGCGGUGCGCUUGUGGGCUCCCUGUGGAGGCGGGGUUUCAAGUUUUGGACUUCUCUGAUAGCUUCCGACGCGUUCCUUGUUGUUUCCCAUCUCACAAGGGGCAACAUCACCAUUCACACAGUUGCUCACGU